rnacentral:rRNA from 1 species
UGGGGAAUAUUGGGCAAUGGGCGCAAGCCUGACCCAGCAACGCCGCGUGAAGGAAGAAGGCCCUCGGGUUGUAAACUUCUUUUAUCAAGGACGAAGAAAGUGACGGUACUUGAUGAAUAAGCCACGGCUAACUACGUGCCAGCAGCCGCGGUAAUACGUAGGUGGCAAGCGUUAUCCGGAUUUACUGGGUGUAAAGGGCGUGUAGGCGGGAUGUAAGUCAGAUGUGAAAACUCAGGGCUCAACCCUGAGCCUGCAUUUGAAACUAUCGUUCUUGAGUGUUGGAGAGGCGGGCGGAAUUCCGUGUGUAGCGGUGAAAUGCGUAGAUAUACGGAGGAACACCAGUGGCGAAGGCGGCCUGCUGGACAAUAACUGACGCUGAGGCGCGAAAGCGUGGGGAGCAAACAGGAUUAGAUACCC